UCGCAGAAUGAAUAAUAUGCAGAAUAUGAAUAUGCUUUCGGGUUUUUCUCUGAAAAUCACAGUAGAGUAUCUCUUUAGUUGUGGCUACCACUCUAUUUCUGACUGUUUUGGACAAGCAAAGCAACUUUACUACAAGAUUUACUAAACAAUCUGCUGUUUGCUAGUUGACUCAUUUGCAUAAUUCACCAGACCACGGUCUCAUCACAAUGAUGUACGGUAUUAUGAUAAUGAAUAUUCAUUGUCAGACACUUGAAACUACAAAAAUCAGGAAACUGCUGAAAUGACACCACAGCAAGAGCAACUUCUAGAUAGCAUAUGCAUGUGCAUUUCACCACAGCGAAUAAAUGCACAUUGUAACCUUCUACUGCUUGGAUAGGCCAGGGAACAUUUUAAAUAAAAAUUUUGUAGAAGGCUGAACAUUGCAAAGAUUUCAGUAAACCAGUGGACUCAUCCUGCUCAGCUCAAUGACUAUAAUGUUGCUUUCUUGUUUUGUGCUUGUUAAUUCUGCUGAAUGAAAUUCUGAAGAAAAUUUAGACAUUGCACCUCUGCAAUAAGUGGACCAGAACUGCUUGGCUGAAUGGUGAAUUUUGCUUCCUCUAGUGAAUGAAUGUGGCUACUGGUGAUUUGGCAAUUGAAGCUUUCUAUUUCAAAUAGUCUUUGUAAUUUAGUAAAUAAUUAUUGGAAAUAAUUUGAAUAAAUAAAUAUUCAUUGUAAUUUAGUAUCAUAUUGGAAAUAAUUUGAAUAAAUAAAUAUUCAUUGUAA